CGUCACAUGAUCUCCAUAAACUCGCGGUACUUCGUUUAUAGGUCAACCCUCCCUACGCUUCCUUGUUCGCUGUGGAUGUGUGGGAAGUCCACAUCUGUAAACAACUUAAUCAUCACGGAAAAAGCACAUACAUGAGUAUGCUGUAUUAUAAUGAACCUUCUCCUCCUCGAGAUGGAAUGUCGAACAGGUUGAGCUCCUUGAUGGAACAAAGACUCAUCGAUACCAGGAUUGAAGAGUUUAUUAACUCUCCAGUGGGACGAUACCUGAAUGAUCACCCAUUAAUUGCACUGACCUUAGUGGUCUUUGCAAUAAUGGCCACAGUUCCUGUUGGACUUUUUCUUGGCUUUGGUCUUGUAACAUUUGCUGCCAC